UACGGAGGGUGCGAGCGUUGUCCGGAAUCAUUGGGCGUAAAGGGCGCGUAGGUGGCCCGGUCAGCGUGCGGUGAAAGCUCGGGGCUCAACCCCGAGUCGGCCGUGCGAACUGCUGGGCUUGAGCACUGUAGAGGCAGGCGGAAUUCCGGGUGUAGCGGUGGAAUGCGUAGAGAUCCGGAAGAACACCGGUGGUGAAGGCGGCCUGCUGGGCAGUGGCUGACACUGAGGCGCGACAGCGUGGGGAGCAAACAGG
rnacentral:rRNA from 1 species